CUUCAGAGUAUAUUUAAAAGAAUACCGUGCAACAAUAAAGGUGCAAAGUUAAAAAACAAUGCAGCAACUUUAUGUGCAAACAAAGUAUUCAAUAUAUACUCAUUAAAGUGAAACGCAAUUAAGCAGACAGAUCACUCCACGAACUAAGAACGGCCAUGCACCACCUAUCACGCAAUCAUGAAAGGACUAGCAUAUUUGAUAUAAGAAUUGCUAUAUAUAAUUAAAAAUAAUUAUAUAUAGUCUUAUAAAAACCUGUCAAUCCUCAGCGUGUUCGGACCUGGUAAGAUUUCCCGCGUUGAGUCAAAUUAAGCCACAUGCUCCACGCGUUCUUGUGGUGCCCUUCCGUCAAUUCCUUCAAGUUUCACACGUGCGU
rnacentral:rRNA from 1 species